rnacentral:lncRNA from 1 species
AUGCUACUUGAGCAGAUAAGAAAGAAGUCAUCACAUAACAAGGCCGCUUCGGGAAUACAGAUGCUUCCCAACACGGACUUCUGGAAUUCCAGAGAAGAUACUGCAGGGAUGUUCCAUCACUCUUGUUUCACAGCAGGUCUCCGGGUUUCAGAGCUGUACCACCCAACAUGGUUACUCCGUCUGCAGAGUGAAGAAUAAACUUGGGGCUAGGCAGCAACUGAAGACGAAGUAAACCAAACAAGACAAGACGUGUGGCCAGAGGUCAACGGCAGUACAGAGGUGAGAACUCGCACAGUAGAGACUCGCUCCUUGGGCUCGGUUCUGGUAAGAUGUUCUGCUCUGGGAGGAAGAAGCAAGACUGCAUGAAGACCAGGGUUCUUGAGUCACACUACCUGGGUUCAAACCCUGGGAACUUUGCGUCUGUGCCUCAUUUUUUUCAUCUGCAGAAUGAGAAGAUAAAGCUCACUGUACCUCAAAUAUAGGGAGGAGUAAUCAAGAUCAUUCAUUUAAAAGACUAGGGUAAUGGUUGGAUAUAUAAACAUUACUGUUCUAUUAUUGUUGUUUCUAUUAUUAGUGUUAGUUAUAAUAGAAAAAAUGAGUCAGGCAAGUCUCCUGAUUCUGGUUUGAGGCAAAUUAUUUCAGAAUAAAGCAACAGAGAAGAAUAAUUAGCAGAUUUCUUAAGUACAGUUUGAGUUAUAUAUCACAUUUUUGCCACAUACAGUGACUAGGAAAAUGUUUCUAUGGAAAUACAGGAAAUACAUUUUCCAAAUCUCAUUUUAUUUCCAGAAUCUCAGCUCAAUAACCCUACCUUGACACCAC